AUGGAUGAUCACAACCAUUUGUUGGCUAGAGCAGAUGAGGUGGUAUUUCUGCGGUCACAUAGAGUGAUGGGAGAUCACCAGAUAGCUGAGAUCUUGGCGACGAAAGGAGCUGGGAUCAGAAAGCAUAUCAUCGUCGACAACUUCAUUAGCAGGUAUGGUUCGUACGAUAAGUGUGGGUUUCUGAGACGAGACGUCUACAACCUAUGUUGCCGUGAAAAAAUGAAGUUGAUUGUGAAGGGUGAUGCUAACACGGCAAUCGGUAUUAUGAGGAGCGGAAAGGAUAAGGAUCCAGACUUCUUCUUUGAGUACGUGCUCGAUAAGGAGGGCCGUUUAAAGAGCAUGUUCUGGUGCGAUGCACAGUCGCGGCGGGACUAUUAG
rnacentral:rRNA from 1 species